rnacentral:rRNA from 1 species
AACGAACGCUGGCGGCAGGCCUAACACAUGCAAGUCGAGCGCCCCGCAAGGGGAGCGGCGGACGGGUGAGUAACGCGUGGGAAUAUGCCCUUUGCUACGGAAUAGUCUCGGGAAACUGGGGGUAAUACCGUAUACGCCCUUUGGGGGAAAGAUUUAUCGGCGAAGGAUUAGCCCGCGUUGGAUUAGGUAGUUGGUGGGGUAAUGGCCUACCAAGCCGACGAUCCAUAGCUGGUUUGAGAGGAUGAUCAGCCACACUGGGACUGAGACACGGCCCAGACUCCUACGGGAGGCAGCAGUGGGGAAUCUUAGACAAUGGGGGCAACCCUGAUCUAGCCAUGCCGCGUGAGUGAUGAAGGCUUUAGGGUUGUAAAGCUCUUUCAGCUGGGAAGAUAAUGACGGUACCAGCAGAAGAAGCCCCGGCUAACUCCGUG